UACGGAGGGUGCAAGCGUUAUCCGGAUUCACUGGGUUUAAAGGGUGCGUAGGUGGGUCUGUAAGUCAGUGGUGAAAUCUCCGAGCUUAACUCGGAAACUGCCAUUGAUACUAUAGGUCUUGAAUUAUCUGGAGGUGAGCGGAAUAUGUCAUGUAGCGGUGAAAUGCUUAGAUAUGACAUAGAACACCAAAUUGCGAAGGCAGCUCACUACGGAUAUAUUGACACUGAGGCACGAAAAGCGUGGGGGG
rnacentral:rRNA from 1 species